rnacentral:rRNA from 1 species
GACGAACGCUGGCGGCGUGCUUAACACAUGCGAGUCGAACGGAAAGGCCCUGCUUUUGUGGGGUGCUCGAGUGGCGAACGGGUGAGUAACACGUGAGUAACCUGCCCUUGACUUUGGGAUAACUUCAGGAAACUGGGGCUAAUACCGGAUAGGAGCUCCUGCUGCAUGGUGGGGGUUGGAAAGUUUCGGCGGUUGGGGAUGGACUCGCGGCUUAUCAGCUUGUUGGUGGGGUAGUGGCUUACCAAGGCUUUGACGGGUAGCCGGCCCGAGAGGGUGACCGGCCACAUUGGGACUGAGAUACGGCCCAGACUCCUACGGGAGGCAGCAGUGGGGAAUAUUGCACAAUGGGCGGAAGCCUGAUGCAGCAACGCCGCGUGCGGGAUGACGGCCUUCGGGUUGUAAACCGCUUUCGCCUGCGACGAAGCGUGAGUGACGAUAAUGGGUAAAGAAGCACCGGCUAACUACGUG